rfam:Neotoma lepida isolate 417 scaffold_78, whole genome shotgun sequence.
GCAUGGUGUGAUUAACCUACUAACCAACCCAGGGCUCGGCCAGGAUGCUGUGGCACGUGAGGAGAUUUCUGGCCUUUUGUCAAUUGACUAAUCCACUAACCUGGUCCGAGCAUGUCCUACUAACCCUGCGGCAGCCAAACCCCACUAACU